rnacentral:rRNA from 1 species
GACGAACGCUGGCGGCGUGCUUAACACAUGCAAGUCGAACGGAAAGGCCCUGCUUGCAGGGUGCUCGAGUGGCGAACGGGUGAGUAACACGUGGGUGAUCUGCCCCUUACUUUGGGUUAAGCCUGGGAAACUGGGUCUAAUACUGGAUAGGACCAUGCUGUAUGUGGUGUGGUGGAAAGAUUAGUUUCGGUAAGGGAUGAGGUCGCGGCCUAUCAGCUUGUUGGUGGGGUAAUGGCCUACUAAGGCGUCGACGGGUAGCCGGCCUGAGAGGGUGGACGGCCACAUUGGGACUGAGGUACGGCCCAGACUCCUACGGGGGGCAGCAGUGGGGAAUAUUGGACCAUGGGCGCAAGCCUGAUGCAGCGACGCCGCGUGGGGGAUGACGGCCUUCGGGUUGUAAACUCCUUUCAGCCAUGACGAAGCCCUUGUGGUGACGGUAGUGGUAGAAGAAGCACCGGCUAACUACGUG